AAUGAACGCUGGCGGCGUGCUUAACACAUGCAAGUCGAGCGAGAAAGUCCCUUCGGGGAUGAGUACAGCGGCGGACGGGUGAGUAAUGCGUAAGAAUCUGCCCUCUAAUGAAGGAUACCCCCGAGAAAUCGGGUUCAAUACUGCAUAAGUCCCUACGGGGAGAAAGGUGGCCUAAUUUGCUGCCGUUAGAGGAUGAGCUUGCGUGCUAUUAGCUAGUUGGUGGGGUAAAGGCCUACCAAGGCGAUGAUGGCUAGCCGGCCUGAGAGGGUGUCCGGCCACACUGGAACUUAGACACGGUCCAGACUCCUGCGGGAGGCAGCAGUGGGGAAUAUUGCGCAAUGGGCGAAAGCCUGACGCAGCGACGCCGCGUGGAGGAUGAAGGUCUUCGGAUUGUAAACUUCUGUUAAGUGGGAAAAAAGACCAGUCUUUAAUAGAGGCUGGGGAUGAUUGUACCAUUAGAGAAAGCACUGGCUAACUUCGUGCCAGCAGCCGCAGUAA
rnacentral:rRNA from 1 species